GUUGAUAGUUCGUCGUAUAUUAUCAAUCGUAUGAAUUUAAUACAGUUUUAGAAGUUGAAGACAUGGGUUUUAUGUUUGGGAAGAGUUCUGCUAAACCCAGUUUGAAGUUGCACUUGUUGUGGCUUGGAAUGCAGCCGUUGUAUCAACACGUGAAAAUCUGUGAUUUGGCGUUGUAAACAGAGCGAGGACAAUGUCUAAAUUAUUCAUUUAUUGUAAUUACUCAAUUCUUUUCAAUAAUCUAUUGUAUUGGUAGCCGUUGCCGUCGCGUUGCCGUCCUAAAAUCGUAA